CGACGCCUCCGAUGGCAGCAGCCACGGCGGGAUGCUCGUGGUGGGGGACAGAGAGGCGGGAGCAACCAGAAGGAUCAGUCCUAGCUGGAAGGGAGAUGUCCUUGACUCCGACAUUGGCAUCUCAAGGAAAUACAAGUGCUGAAAGAAAACAAGACUGUGGCCAAGAAGAACAGCAUGCAGUACUGAAGGAUGAAAAUAAACAAGUGAUGCAAACUGGAAGAUGUCCUGAUAGAAAGGGGCGAGAUAAACUGAAUUAUGGAGAUAAACAGUGCUUGGUUUGGUGAUCUCCCCUGACUACUACUGGCUCUUUGGUGCUAGUUUGUAUCGGGCAUACCUGCGACGCCGAGUGUGCCAUGGCACCUAGGUUCCAGUUGGCAACGGAGGAGGCUGGAGAAGCAUGAGGUUGCUGUGGUGGAGGUCUCUAGUUGGUGUAGAUACAUGUUUAAGGUCAGCUUGUCUGGACGCGGUGGCGGUGUUUUUAUACUAUGUUUGGAAUGUUAAACCUGGAGGUCGAGUACCUUGAGUCGGAGUCUCCACCGCCUCCUUUCUCCCCGCAGGUCGCUUCCCACCACUGCCUUUUUUUCCUGGAUGAAUCUCGCUUCCAUUCGAGGUGAAAGGUCGCAUUUUUGCGUGCUGGAUCUGCGGGAAUGACGAUGAUGGUGCCGGCGUAUCGGGGCGGGAGGACCAGUGGUGCAUCUUCAUAGAACUGCUCGUGCUGGAGGCCGCCAUCACCAGCUUCUCCGGCCGCAACCUCAAGACGCUGCAAGUGGCGCCAGAGAUCCUCACCAAGGUGAGGCUGCUGCUCAAGGUGCAGCUCCACCUGGUCUCCUUCCUCAGCUGAUGCACCUUCUCCGCCGCCGGGGCCAGAGCAUGCAACAAGAUGCUUGUCUACCCGUAUUUUCCCAACGGCAGCCUUGGACACUUCCUAUUCAGCGAGUCACCUCCAUUCCAACCUCAACUUCUCCAUCGUCUGCCAUAGAAAUACUCAUGAAUUCAGUCCAGAUUCGAACACAAUUCGCUUAAUGUUAGAGUUCAUGUGGAGUUUUUGGUUUCGCUGUCAGAAUUCAUACGAUUUUUAAGGCAGCAGUAUAAUUAUCCGCUACUCCGGUCAACAGGGUAAUGGUAUUUUGGUUGUCUCCCUUGUUUGUGCCAUAAAGACAAUACUCCCUAAAUACUGCAGUAUAUAUGUACUUAUGCACAGGUUUCCUGUUUGAUAAACUAUGGUUAAUGAGCUUAUGCACUUGAUUCCCUGUUAGAUACUGCAGUAUAUACUUCUUGCUUUUGUUGUUCUUAAUAUAGCUUGCUGGUUCUGCAUUUAAUUGUUCUUUCUAGUGCUGUAUGCUUAUUAUGGAGUAGUUGCUUUAUUUUCUGAGUAGGAGUGUAUACUUUAAGAUGAGUUAUCUGUGGGAGUAGGAGUAUAAAUACAACAGUUCUCCAUUAAGGUGAUGGAGUAGGAGUAUAUACUUUAAAGUUUAAACUAUGAUGACAUUACAGUCUAAAUAAAAUCCACUUUUAAAUUCUGUUUAAUUGUACAACCUGUUGAGAAGGUAAUUCAGUGUAAUUGUACAACCUGUUGAGUAUUCUGCCUAAAAUACCCACUCCUGUACUUUUAUAUUCACUUUAAUCUGGAGUAGUAGUAUAAUGAAGAUGGUAUCUGAAUUCUUUAAUCAACCAGACCAUGAGCUUAUUGUCAUAUUUCUAGUAUUGGAGUGUGUCUUUUUGAUGUGAAUGAGAUCGGAGGCGGCCUGUAGGUGAACGACCUGUAGGUGUACUCCAUGAGCUUAUCUGCUUUCCUUCUUCAGAUCAUGCAUGCCGGUUUCUAUCAUCCUUACUUGUGAAUCAUUAGACUCCUGAAAAUCUCUGGCUCCUGAAAAGCAUAAAACUGAUGAAAUGCACGCCGGUUUCUAUCAUCAUUAUUUGUUAAAUCUCUGGCUCCUGUGUGCAUUUUCUGAAUUAUAUUAACUAAAGUUGCCUCUCAGUUUCUCACAUGUUAAGGUAGAGUUUGACAUUUAUCUUUUGUUGAUCUAUCCACUACAGUAUUCAUCAAGCCCCUACUGGUGAUGGAUUUUCCUAAGGUGCUGCUGAACAAGGAUAUAUCCGACUCACCAUUAACUGUUUCCCAGUUUAUAUUCAUGGUACCAGGGAGGUUAUGCCCCGCAGAGGCCGGAAUAUCUGCCGUUGGAGGUUAGUAUCCUGAAGUCCUGAACAACUAUUCCAUGGCUGCUUCGUACUGUGUUAAC